CAAGCAGCGGAGCGUGUGGUUUAAUUCGAUGCUACACGAAGAACCUUACCAGGGUUUGACAUGCAAGUGGUAGGAACCGAAAGGUGACCGACCCUUCGGGGAGCUUGCACAGGUGCUGCAUGGCUGUCGUCAGCUCGUGUCGUGAGAUGUUCGGUUAAGUCCGCUAACGAGCGCAACCCUCGCUGUGUGUUAUAUGUGUCACACGGGACUGCCGGUCUUAAGCCGGAGGAAGGUGGGGAUGAUGUCAAGUCAGCAUGGCCUUUAUAUCCUGGGCUACACACACGCUACAAUGGCCAGCACAGUAGGUUGCUAAGCCGCGAGGUGGAGCCAAUCCAUAAAGCUGGUCUCAGUUCAGAUUGCAGGCUGCAACCCGCCUGCAUGAAGAUGGAGUUGCUAGUAACCGCAGGUCAGCUAUACUGCGGUGAAUACGUUCCCGGGCCUU
rnacentral:rRNA from 1 species